AGUGAACGCUGGCGGUAGGCCUAACACAUGCAAGUCGAACGGCAGCACAGUAAGAGCUUGCUCUUACGGGUGGCGAGUGGCGGACGGGUGAGGAAUACAUCGGAAUCUACUUUUUCUUGGGGGAUAACGUAGGGAAACUUACGCUAAUACCGCAUACGACCUACGGGUGAAAGCAGGGGAUCUUCGGACCUUUCGCGAUUGAAUGAGCCGAUGUCGGAUUAGCUAGUUGGCGGGGUAAAGGCCCACCAAGGCGACGAUCCGUAGAUGGUCUGAGAGGAUGAUCAGCCACACUGGAACUGAGACACGGUCCAGACUCCUACGGGAGGCAGCAGUGGGGAAUAUUGGACAAAGGGCGCAAGCCUGAUCCAGCCAUACCGCGUGGGUGAAGAAGGCCUUCGGGUUGUAAAGCCCUUUUGUUGGGAAAGAAAAGCAGCAGGUUAAUACCCCGCUGUUCUGACGGUACCCAAAGAAUAAGCACCGGCUAACUUCGUG
rnacentral:rRNA from 1 species